rnacentral:rRNA from 1 species
AGAGCGAACGCUGGCGGCAGGCUUAACACAUGCAAGUCAAGCGGGCGUAGCAAUACGUCAGCGGCGGACGGGUGAGUAACGCGUGGGAACGUACCUUUUGGUUCGGAACAACACAGGGAAACUUGUGCUAAUACCGGAUAAGCCCUUACGGGGAAAGAUUUAUCGCCGAAAGAUCGGUCCGCGUCUGAUUAGCUAGUUGGUGAGGUAACGGCUCACCAAGGCGACGAUCAGUAGCUGGUCUGAGAGGAUGAUCAGCCACAUUGGGACUGAGACACGGCCCAAACUCCUACGGGAGGCAGCAGUGGGGAAUAUUGGACAAUGGGCGCAAGCCUGAUCCAGCCAUGCCGCGUGAGUGAUGAAGGCCCUAGGGUUGUAAAGCUCUUUGUGCGGGAAGAUAAUGACGGUACCGCAAGAAUAAGCCCGGCUAACUUCGUGCCAGCAGCCGC